GACGAACGCUGGCGGCGUGCCUAAUACAUGCAAGUAGGACGCAGUUGCGAACGGGGGAGUAACGCGUAGGGAACUGUCUAUUAGAGGGGGGGAACUAUUGGAAAAGAUAGCUAAUACCGCAUACUAGUAGAUGGACCUACGUUGUAUUAGGUAGUAUGUAGGGUAAUGGACUACCUAGGAAACGAUACAUAGCCGACCUGAGAGGGGGAUCGGCCCACCUGGGACUGGGUAACGGCCCAGACUCCUACGGGAGGCAGGAGUAGGGAAACUUCGGCAAUGGGGCGAAAGCUGACCGGGCAACGCCGCGUGAGUGAAGGAGGUUUUCGGAUCGUAAAGCUCUGUUGGUAAGGAAGCGGUACUUAACCAGAAAGGGACGGCUAACUACGUGCCAGCCGCCGCGGUAAUAC
rnacentral:rRNA from 1 species